CUGAUGACCGCGUUCGGGUCAAUUGUGAAUUGCAACACCCGGUCUCUCUCCAUGUGCCAGAAUCGGUAUCUGUACGAGAGGGGACACGCGUUGCUAUCAG
rfam:Haloquadratum walsbyi DSM 16790 complete genome